GCUCUUCGGACCUCACGCUAUCAGAUGAGCCUAGGUCGGAUUAGCUAGUUGGUGAGGUAAUGGCUCACCAAGGCGACGAUCCGUAACUGGUCUGAGAGGAUGAUCAGUCACACUGGAACUGAGACACGGUCCAGACUCUAUACGGGAGGCAGCAGUGGGGAAUAUUGGACAAUGGGCGAAAGCCUGAUCCAGCCAUGCCGCGUGUGUGAAGAAGGUCUUCGGAUUGUAAAGCACUUUAAGUUGGGAGGAAGGGUUGUACGUUAAUACCGUGCAAUUUUGACGUUACCGACAGAAUAAGCACCGGCUAACUCUGUGCCAGCAGCCGCGGUAAUACAGAGGGUGCAAGCGUUAAUCGGAAUUACUGGGCGUAAAGCGCGCGUAGGUGGUUUGUUAAGUUGGAUGUGAAAUCCCCGGGCUCAACCUGGGAACUGCAUCCAAAACUGGCAAGCUAGAGUAGGGCAGAGGGUGGUG
rnacentral:rRNA from 1 species